AUUGAACGCUGGCGGCAGGCUUAACACAUGCAAGUCGAGCGGGGUGAUGGUGCUUGCACUAUCACUUAGCGGCGGACGGGUGAGUAAUGCUUAGGAAUCUGCCUAUUAGUGGGGGACAACAUCGCGAAAGGGAUGCUAAUACCGCAUACGUCCUACGGGAGAAAGCAGGGGAUCACUUGCGACCUUGCGCUAAUAGAUGAGCCUAAGUCGGAUUAGCUAGUUGGUGGGGUAAAGGCCUACCAAGGCGACGAUCUGGAGCGGGUCUGAGAGGAGGAUCCGCCACACUGGGACUGAGACACGGCCCAGACUCCUACGGGAGGCAGCAGUGGGGAAUAUUGGACAAUGGGGGGAACCCUGAUCCAGCCAGGCCGCGUGUGUGAAGAAGGCCUUAUGGUUGUAAAGCACUUUAAGCGAGGAGGAGGCUCUUUUGGUUAAUACCCAAGAUGAGUGGACGUUACUCGCAGAAUAAGCACCGGCUAACUCUGUGCCAGCAGCCGCCGUAA
rnacentral:rRNA from 1 species